AGCCAUGCAGAAGAUUGCUAAGCUAUUGCCUUGGCAACACCUCCACAUUAGGAAGAAAGCUAACAGAAGCCGCAAUUAGAAAGCAAGGAGGCCGGGUUUGUUUUUAGCAAGCUCUGCAAUUCCAGGAGUGGGAUCCUGCUGAGAAUGAAAAGAAUGACACAAAGAAGGAAAAAACACCCUGUCAAACAUUCCUCACAAGAACCAGGCCUACACCUGCAUUCUGGGAGAGGCUUACAUUCUGGGAGGGGCUUAGACUCCGGCUUCUAUAGAAAUCUCAGAAUAGUGCUGUGUCAAUCUAUUUUCAAGGCAUAAGUGUGGAAUCAACAUCUCCUUUUCACAAAACAAUGGUGAAACCCAAAGAGUGGAAGAGACCUGUGGACUAUCUGACCCAACACUCCAGAAAAGGAAUUCCGUUUUCUAACAGAAAUUUUGUUCUAACUAGGAGAGGGUGGCCCUUUCUGAAGAGAGUCUGGAGUGAUUCAUUCUUUUUUUUUUUGCCUGUUCUUAUGGUGGAGGAAAUCUGCAUCUGGCAGUCUCCACCAGCUGGACAUCUCAACUCAUCUCCGAAAAGUCCCUCAGAUGUUUGAAAACAGGUACAAAAACGCCUACCCAUCACCCAAUUUACUUCCACACCUCGCUCUUCGGCAGCUAAAGUCCACCAAUUCCAUCAAGAGUUCUAUUUCAGUCUUUGCAUUAGAAUGUAAAAAGGAUGACUAUUGUAGAAAAUCCAGAAGUGUGAAAAGAAACCACUCUGGAAGUGUGCAGUGUGGCUGGAGGGAUAAACGUGUGACACUGGCCCUGUCGACACAGAAAGAGAGACGUCUUAAUGAAACUUGGUGGUCACGACAUCAAACAGACUGGUGACAGAUAAGCAGGAUGAGAAAGAGCCACAGAAGAUGGACCGGGCAGAGAACGCAGCUUGUGACAAGGCUCCGACGCAGAGGGUGCACAGUGUUUACGGAACUGAGGGAGUCCCACCCGGAGGAUGGGUUGUACCAAGCAGUUUUAGAAGAUAAACCUAGAGACCCAGGCGCAGGAGCCAGUUCAGGAAGGAUGCCGCCUGAGGAGCAAAGUCAUUUUCUUUUUAGCCAAAAGGUGAGAGGGAAUAGAUGUCAUUGAUGAGUUGGUAAAAUGUCUGGUUCUGCAAACUGACUCUGCUGACAGGGUGGAGAGACAAUGGAUGGGAAUUAGCCAGGAUCAGGAAGAGAUCAACCGAAGAGAAAGAAGAGAUGGAAGAUAGAAUGGUAGCUGUGUGGGAAUGAAGGACUAGAAAAGCAAGGAGAGAAAAAAUAGACAGUCACAAAAUCUCACCAUAGCGUAGGCAUUUGAUAGCUCCUAGAAAAGGGACAGUCAUUCUUUGUUUUGUUUUUCAGUGAUAUAACCACUGGUAGGCUUGACCACACUCCAGGGUAGGCCCCGCUUCCAAAGAUUAGCUGGGCAAUACAAACUGGACUCCGUAGGGAAUGGCAGGGGGCGCGGGAGGAUAAGAAAUCUAAAAGUUAGUUGGAAAGGCAUAGGAGGGUAGAGAGGUAAUUGUGGGAGGAGUAUUCAGAAUACAUUGUAAACUCUCAGAUGUUUUUAUCUUUGGCGUGUAAGUUUCCUCCAGGUAUCCUGCUGGCACAGUGGGCAUGAAUUCCUUUAAUUUGAGUUUAUCAUAGAAAUUUUUUUCCUUUUCUUUCAAUUAGGAAGGAUAGUUUGUUGUUUAGAGUAAUCUUUGUUGGCAAUUAUCUUUCGGAGGCUGAAGCCCACCACUGCAUACCCUCCCGGCUUUCAGAGUUUCUGCUGAGACCUCCGUCAGUACUCUGAUGGGUGUGGUCUUCUACGGGCCCCAGGGCCUCACUCCUGCACCUGUAAAUACUCUUUCUCCGCUCUGUGUAUUUAGCAUUUUAACAACACUAUAACAGGAAGGGGUUCUUUCCUGAUCUUGUAUGUAUGACAUCCAAUGUGUCUCCUGCGUCUGAAUGGCCACCUCCCCUUAGAUUUGGAAAAUUAUCUGCUAUAACUUUAUUAAAUACGCUCUCUAAGUCUUUA